rnacentral:rRNA from 1 species
AGUGGCGGACGGGUGAGUAACGCGUGGGUAACCUGCCUCAUACAGGGGGAUAACAGUUAGAAAUGGCUGCUAAUACCGCAUAAGCACACAGCAACGCAUGUUGCAGUGUGAAAAACUCCGGUGGUAUGAGAUGGACCCGCGUCUGAUUAGCUAGUUGGUGGGGUAACGGCCUACCAAGGCGACGAUCAGUAGCCGACCUGAGAGGGUGACCGGCCACAUUGGGACUGAGACACGGCCCAAACUCCUACGGGAGGCAGCAGUGGGGAAUAUUGCACAAUGGGGGAAACCCUGAUGCAGCGACGCCGCGUGAGCGAAGAAGUAUUUCGGUAUGUAAAGCUCUAUCAGCAGGGAAGAAAAUGACGGUACCUGACUAAGAAGCCCCGGCUAACUACGUGCCAGCAGCCGCGGUAAUACGUAGGGGGCAAGCGUUAUCCGGAUUUACUGGGUGUAAAGGGAGCGUAGACGGAUGUGCAAGUCUGAAGUGAAAGCCCGGGGCUCAACCCCGGGACUGCUUUGGAAACUGUGUAUCUAGAGUGCCGGAGAGGUAAGCGGAAUUCCCAGUGUAGCGGUGAAAUGCGUAGAUAUUGGGAGGAACACCAGUGGCGAAGGCGACUCUCUGGACUGUAACUGACGCUGAGGCUCGAAAGCGUGGGGAGCAAACAGGAUUAGAUACCCUGGUAGUCCACGCCGUAAACGAUGGAUACUAGGUGUGGGAGGUAUCAACUCCUUCCGUGCCGCCGCUAACGCAUUAAGUAUCCCGCCUGGGGAGUACGGUCGCAAGAUUAAAACUCAAAGGAAUUGACGGGGACCCGCACAAGUAGCGGAGCAUGUGGUUUAAUUCGAAGCAACGCGAAGAACCUUACCUACACUUGACAUCCCUUGCAUUACUCUUAAUCGAGGAAAUCCCUUCGGGGACAAGGUGACAGGUGGUGCAUGGUUGUCGUCAGCUCGUGUCGUGAGAUGUUGGGUUAAGUCCCGCAACGAGCGCAACCCUUGUCGUUAGUUACUACCAUUAAGUUGAGGACUCUAGCGAGACUGCCUGGGUAAACCAGGAGGAAGAUGGGGAUGACGUCAAAUCAUCAUGCCCCUUAUGUGUAGGGCUACACACGUGCUACAAUGGCUGGUACAGAGAGAUGCAAUACCGCGAGGUGGAGCCAAACUUAAAAACCAGUCUCAGUUCGGAUUGUAGGCUGAAACUCGCCUACAUGAAGCUGGAGUUACUAGUAAUCGCGAAUCAGAAUGUCGCGGUGAAUACGUUCCCGGGUCUUGUACACACCGCCCGUCA